rnacentral:rRNA from 1 species
AUGCCGCCGCUGCCGCCUCUGCCCCUAGCGCUACACCGCGCGUUCUCCCUGCUCAACCGACUCGAUUCCCCGCGCCACCUCCUGCAGGCGCACGCCUUCCUCCUCCCCCGCGGCGGCCACCGCAACGCGCGACUCCUCUCGGCGCUCCUCCUCGCCUCUCUCCGCCUCCCUCUCCGUCCCCACGCCCUCGCGCUCCUCCGCCGAACACACCCCUCCGUGUCCCUCAACGCUGCCGCCCGGAUUCCCCACCUGCGUGGCACUCUCGGCCCGCAGCUCCACUCCGUUGUCGUCCGUGCCGGGCUCGCCUCCGACGCGCACGUCUCGGCCAGCCUCAUCCAGGCCUACUUCUCCUGUGCCUGCGCAGCCUCCGCACGCAGUGUGUUCGAUGAAACGGUCCACAAGGACAUCUUUUGCUGGAACGUCACCAUCUCGGGGUAUGUCAAGUCCGGGGACCUGGUCUGUGCGCGUGAGCUGUUCGAUGUUAUGCCACAGAGGAACGUCGUGUCGUGGACGACCUUGAUCGGAGCAUAUGCGCAGAUGAAACGGCCAGCAGAGGCAGUUGAGGUGUUCCGGAGGAUGCAGGUUGAGGAGGGCAUCGAGCCUGAUGGGAUAGCAAUGCUGUCGGUGUUGUCGGCUUGUGGGGAUCUCGGAGCGGUUGAUUUGGGGGAAUGGGUGCACAGGUUCGUGGUGAAGCGGGGGUUAUGCUGGCAUAUACCGCUGAUGAACGCCAUAAUUGACAUGUACCUCAAAUGCGGGUGUGUUGCCAAGGCGGUGGAGGUGUUUGAGGGUAUGGGGCAGAAGAGCAUUGUGACUUGGACGACGUUGAUCGCUGGAUUUGCUUUGCAUGGCCUUGGUUUGGAAGCUGUUGAUAUGUUCCGCCGGAUGGAAAGGGAGAAUGUGGCACCAAAUGACAUUACUUUUCUUGCCAUCCUGUCAGCAUGUAGCCACAUUGGACUGACUGAUUUGGGUCGCUGGUAUUUCCAAAUCAUGGUAUCUCAGUACAGGAUUAAGCCACGAGUUGAACAUUAUGGAUGCAUGGUCGAUUUACUUGGCCGUGCUGGUUGUUUGAUGGAAGCUCGAGACUUAGUUAAGGACAUGCCUUUCAAGGCAAAUGCAGCAAUAUGGGGGGCUCUUCUUGCCGCUGCUCGGACCCAUGGUGAUGCUGACCUUGGGGAACAAGCCCUGUUGCAUCUAAUUGAGCUUGAGCCUCACAAUAGUGGGAACUAUAUUCUCCUGUCAAACAUUUAUGCAGAACAGGAGAGGUGGGAUGAAGUGAGGAAACUUCGGAAGGCAAUGAGAGACGGGGGCUUAAGAAAUGUACCAGGGGCAAGUUCUAUUGAAGUUGAUGGUGUGGUUCAUGAGUUCACUUCCAGAGAUGGAUCACAUCCUUGCUUACAUAAGAUACGUAAAGUAUUGUGUGAGAUCACCGCUGACAUGAAAUCCAUUGGUUAUGUCGCCGUGCUCCCUGAAGCACCGCAUGAUAUUGAAGAAGGGUAA